rnacentral:rRNA from 1 species
CAAAGGGAAGCGAGCCCGCAGGGGGAGCAAAUCCCAAAAAUAAACGUCCCAGUUCGGACUGUGGUCUGCAACCCGACUACACGAAGCUGGAAUCGCUAGUAAUCGCGAAUCAGAAUGUCGCGGUGAAUACGUUCCCGGGUCUUGUACACACCGCCCGUCACACCAUGGGAGUCGGGAAUGCCCGAAGUCAGUGACCCAACCAUAUGGAGGGAGCUGCCGAAGGCAGGUCUGAUAACUGGGGUGAAGUCGUAACAAGGUACC